ACGAACGCUGGCGGCGUGCCUAAUACCUGCAAGUUGAGCGCUGAAGGUUGGUACUUGUACCAACUGGAUGAGCAGCGAACGGGUGAGUAACGCGUGGGGAAUCUGCCUUUGAGCAGGGGACAACAUUUGGAAACGAAUGCUAAUACCGCAUAAAAACUUUAAACACAAGUUUUAAGUUUGAAAGAUGCAAUUGCAUCACUCAAAGAUGAUCCCGCGUUGUAUUAGCUAGUUGGUGAGGUAAAGGCUCACCAAGGCGAUGAUACAUAGCCGACCUGAGAGGGUGAUCGGCCACAUUGGGACUGAGACACGGCCCAAACUCCUACGGGAGGCAGCAGUAGGGAAUCUUCGGCAAUGGACGAAAGUCUGACCGAGCAACGCCGCGUGAGUGAAGAAGGUUUUCGGAUCGUAAAACUCUGUUGGUAGAGAAGAACGUUGGUGAGAGUGGAAAGCUCACCAAGUGACGGUAACUACCCAGAAAGGGACGGCUAACUACGUG
rnacentral:rRNA from 1 species